AAAUUAUCAAAACAUCACCUUUUGUUAAUUCAAUUGGUUUUGGUUUGGACUUGGAGGCCUUGCGGAUUCACGUCUGCUCCUCUUAAAAAUAUUAGCUGGAUCUCAGUGAGCUCGGUUCCACUCGGCGUGAUAAGUAUCACUCGCUGAGGACACCCGUAAAAAAGGUGGCCGGGAUUGCAGACGAACCGCUUCUAAUAGUCUAUUGAAUUGGACAAACAUACUUUAUG
rnacentral:misc_RNA from 1 species